rnacentral:rRNA from 1 species
AGAGUUUGAUCCUGGCUCAGGACGAACGCUGGCGGCGUGCCUAACUCAUGCAAGUCACGGGGGGUAGCAAUACCAACCGGCGAACGGGUGCGGAACACGUGAGCAAUCUGCCGAUUACUGGGGGAUAGCCGGCCCAACGGCCGGGUAAUACCGCAUACGCUCUUCAGGGGACAUCCCCAGAAGGGGAAACCUCCGGGGGUAAUCGAGGAGCUCGCGUCUUAUCAGCUAGUUGGCGGGGUAACGGCCACCAAGGCUACGACGGGUAGCUGGUCUGAGAGGAUGGCCAGCCACAUUGGGACUGCGACACGGCCCAGACUCCUACGGGAGGCAGCAGUGGGGAAUAUUGCGCAAUGGACGAAAGUCUGACGCAGCGACGCCGCGUGUGGGAUGAAGCUCUUCGGGGUGUAAACCACUGUUGCCCGGGACGAAUUUCUGGUUUUGACCAGAUUGACGGUACCGGGUGAGGAAGCACCGGCUAACUCUGUGCCAGCAGCCGCGGUAAUACAGAGGGUGCGAGCGUUGUCCGGAAUCACUGGGCGUAAAGGGCGCGUAGGUGGCUCGUUAAGCGUGUGGUGAAAGCCUGGGGCUCAACCCCAGGUCUGCCGUGCGAACUGGCGAGCUUGAGCAGAGUAGAGGCGGGUGGAAUUUCGGGUGUAGCGGUGGAAUGCGUAGAUAUCCGAAAGAACACCGGUGGCGAAGGCGGCCCGCUGGGCUCUUGCUGACACUGAUGCGCGACAGCGUGGGGAGCAAACAGGAUUAGAUACCCUGGUAGUCCACGCCGUAAACGAUGGGUACUAGGCGUCUGGGGGAGCGACCCCCUGGGUGCCGGCGCUAACGCAUGAAGUACCCCGCCUGGGGAGUACGGCCGCAAGGCUGAAACUCAAAGGAAUUGACGGGGGCCCGCACAAGCGGUGGAGCAUGUGGUUUAAUUCGACGCAACGCGAAGAACCUUACCUGGGCUUGACAUGCUGGAGAAAGCCCCCAGAAACGGGGGCCCCUCUUCGGAGUUCCAGCACAGAUGCUGCAUGGCUGUCGUCAGCUCGUGUCGUGAGAUGUUGGGUUAAGUCCCGCAACGAGCGCAGCCCUCAUCCCUAGUUACCAGCGGGUAAAGCCGGGAACUCUAGGGGGACUGCCGGUGCCAAACCGGACGAAGGUGGGGACGACGUCAAGUCAUCAUGGCUCUUACGUCCAGGGCUACACACGUGCUACAAUGGGCCAGACAAAGGGCUGCCAACCCGCGAGGGGGAGCCAAUCCCAUAAACUGGUCCUCAGUUCGGAUUGCAGUCUGCAACUCGACUGCAUGAAGCUGGAAUCGCUAGUAAUCGUGGAUCAGCUACGCCACGGUGAAUACGUUCCCGGGCCUUGUACACACCGCCCGUCACGCCAUGGAAGCUGUGAGUGCCCGAAGUCCGUGCAGGAACCCGCAAGGGGCCGAGCGGCCGAAGGCAAGCGCAGUGACUGGGGCGAAGUCGAAACAAGGUA